UACGUAGGGUGCGAGCGUUUGUCCGGAAUUAUUGGGCGUAAAGAGCUUGUAGGUGGUUUGUCGCGUCUGCUGUGAAAAUCCGAGGCUCAACCUCGGACUUGCAGUGGGUACGGGCAGACUAGAGUGUGGUAGGGGAGACUGGAAUUCCUGGUGUAGCGGUGGAAUGCGCAGAUAUCAGGAGGAACACCCGAUGGCGAAGGCAGGUCUCUGGGC
rnacentral:rRNA from 1 species